UACGAAGGGGGCUAGCGUUGCUCGGAAUCACUGGGCGUAAAGCGCACGUAGGCGGAUUCUUAAGUCAGGGGUGAAAUCCUGGAGCUCAACUCCAGAACUGCCUUUGAUACUGGAGAGCUUGAGUCCGGAAGAGGUGAGUGGAACUCCGAGUGUAGAGGUGAAAUUCGUAGAUAUUCGGAAGAACACCAGUGGCGAAGGCGGCUCACUGGUCCGGUACUGACGCUGAUGUGCGAAAAGCGUGGGGAGCAAACAGGG
rnacentral:rRNA from 1 species